AUGGCCGGAAUCGCUCAAAGCACUACUUCCCCUGCCUCUGCCACCACAGAAAAACCCAUCUACAACGUGGUCCGUUUCCUCAGUGAAGGUACCUAUGGACAAGUCUCUUUGUACGAAAGCUCCAAAAACCCCGACGUCAAAAUCGCGGUCAAACAAAUCUCAACUGCUGGUCAGUCGGAACGCUUUGUGGAGCACAUCAAAACUGAGUUCGCAAUUCACAAAGGCCUGUCAAAGAUCGGUGGUCAUAGGAACGUAAUCUCUAUGAUGGAAAUGCGCAAGGGCUCAGAUUGCUACACCCUGCUGAAGGAGUAUGCAGAUGGAGGUGACCUGUUCAAAAAGCUUGAAACCGAAGGUGAACAGUAUUCAGAAAAUGCACAAUGCUUUUUUAAGCAGCUAAUUUCGGGGCUCAAAUUCAUCCAUGAGCAUGAAAUUGUGCAUCGAGACAUUAAGCUUGAGAAUCUUCUUUUGAUGAAAUCAAAAUCAAAUCUUGUGCCAGACACGUUGAAAAUUGCGGAUUUUGGAUUAGCCACCGAAUACAUGGUUGACGGAGAGGAGCUCAUGCUCGUGGAUAACUGUGGAUCCCCUCCGUAUGCGGCUCCAGAAGUAUACUCUAAACAAGGGCAUCGCGGCCCACCAACCGAUGUUUGGUCUUCAGGAGUUAUUUUGAUGGCGAUGCUCACUGCAGGGCUUCCGUGGGAUUGUGCGCACAGAAAAGACGUCGACUACGCCGCCUGGAUCGACAAAAAGUUCCGAACGGACAACUUAUGGAAUGACAUUUCCGACCGGGCUCUUGCACUCCUCCGCAAAAUUCUUUGCGUCAAUGUCAGUGAGAGAGUUAGUAUUGAGCAAAUCGAGGCGGAUCCAUGGUUCACAUUUGACUACGCAAAAAGGAUCGCAAGUCAAAAGCCUAGUGCAAGAUCAUGCUACAUUCCAGUAAAACAAUGUCUGCCACAGAAUCCACUACCACUACCCCACCUGCUUCCACCGAAAAGUACCAAGUUCUGGGACUUCUUGGAAAAGGAACAUUCGGCAAAGUUCUGCUCAUUGAGCUAGAGUCACUCCCAGGAGAAGCGGUGGCAAUGAAAGAGAUCGAAGCAUCCGGAGAACACGUGGAGCAAAUCACGCUGAAUGUCAAAAAAGAGUACAUCUUAACAAAGCGACUUUCCGCGCCAGGCCAUGAAAAUGUGAUCCGGUUUUUGUCGAUUCGGACGAUGCCAGAACAUUAUUUUUUAAUUAUGGAGUACGCUGAUGGUGGAGAUCUUUUUGAUAAAAUCUCGUCAGAAUACAGGCUUACUUCAAGCCAAGCCCAUGGAUAUUUCAAGCAACUCAUCGCUGGGCUCAGGUACAUUCACUCAAAAGGUGUGACCCAUCGGGACAUCAAGCCCGAAAAUUUGAUGCUUACUAAAGCUGGAGUUUUGAAAAUCACCGACUUUGGACUUGGAACCUUGCAUAUUAUCAAAGGAGAAGAAUCGCUUAUGGACACCCGAUGUGGGACACCUCAAUACGCUGCACCUGAAGUUUUGGUUGGAAAUCAAUACCGUGGACCGCCCGUAGACAUUUGGUCAGCUGGAGUUGUGCUCAUUAAUAUGUUGACUGGGCAUAGCCCAUGGAAAAAGGCGUGCAAAUCCGAUGCCUCCUACACUCGCUGGUUCAAUGACGAAUGCACCGAAAGAGAUGCGUGGUCUGAUCUUGGUGCUCGUGUAAUCACACUUCUUUGCUCAAUUCUUGCUCACAACCCAACACAUCGAGCGCCAAUUGAGCUCAUUGAACAGGACCACUGGUUUCAGUUUGGUGAUGAGGAAACUGUUGAAAUCACUUCCGCUUCAUCAACCAGUUGCAACUCCGAAGCCAAAUCCAGCAGAAAACGGAAAAUUGAGCAGACUAUUGAAUCCCGUAAUGUCUUCGAUUACAGCUCAAAAAGCAAAAAAAUGAAAAGGAGAACCCUUUCUGCAUAGUG